UCAUUGCGUGUGCGUGCAGUGUUAAGGCUGCACUAUUGAACUUUAUUGGUUUUUCUACAAUACUUGUCAUGAAAUGUUU
rnacentral:misc_RNA from 1 species